rnacentral:tRNA from 1 species
GCGCCUGUAGCUCAAGGGAUAGAGCAUUGGAUUUCUAAUCCAAGGGUUGGGGGUUCGAAUCCCUCCAGGCGCGCCA